rnacentral:rRNA from 1 species
AUGUCUCUUGCAGAUCUCCGUUUCGACAAGGGGCACGAGUUCGAGGAGCACAUUUGGAAGCGACUUCAUCUUCCUAUCAAAUUUGAAGCUGGCAAGGGUCUCCAUGAGUUCUUCCUCGUGGCAGAAUUUACCAGAUCCAGAGUCAAGGUUACAGAAGAUUUGGUGGGUGCAAAUUCUCCUAUCCUGCUUUGGUGGAAGAGCAUCAUUGUUCAAGGCCACCGAAGGUUCAGAACUCUCCCUUCAAAUUCUCAAUUUCUGUCAUUCGAUGUGGGUUUUGUGAUACACAAUGGAGGUAACAUUUCCUCGUCUAAAUUCAAUUUGGGAUUUCUUCUUUCGGAUCCUGGUGGGGCAAAGCCCAGGAUGUGGUACUGCUAUGCUGAAGGUACAAGCAACCUUCUCUGGUUUCAGGAAACAUGCAUAUAUGCACCUGUGUAA